CUCAGUGGUUAUGUGGUCCCUAACUAAACACCUUCGAAGGGGCAUGGAACGUUGUUACCUUCCCACCAAAGUGGUCCCUGUUUUUCUACUUGCAUUUUUACAUGCUUUCGAACAGCUAGGUUGGCAGAAGCUGGGACAAGUUAUGGGAGCU